rnacentral:sRNA from 1 species
CAAAUAAAGAGGUUGCUUAUUUGAAAGACUUCUCUAGUCGAAAUAAUACUCAAAUUGAGCUUCCUGCUUUACAAGUACUUGAACUUCGUCUUAUUGGGGACAGAACCAUUGUUGGUAGUUAUGAUGUGAUAUGUCCAUCUUUAACAAAACUAUCAUUGGAUAUUGGGAGAUAUGUUGGGUUUUUCAACAUAAAUUGUUCAAGCGAUGCUUCAGAAGCUACAAAAAGGGAUUCUAUUGCAAUCAAGAUAUCGAACUCAGAUUUUGAUCCGCCGGUUGAAAGUGUUGAAUGUCUUUCAAAACAACCACAUGGUUUGAACUUGAUUAUGAC